CCUACGGGAGGCAGCAGUGAGGAAUAUUGGUCAAUGGGCGAGAGCCUGAACCAGCCAAGUAGCGUGAAGGAUGACUGCCCUACGGUUGGUAAACUUCUUUUAUAAAGGAAUAAAGUGAGGCAAGUGAGCCUUAUUGUACGUACUUUAUCAAUAAGGAUCGGCUAACUCCGUGUCAGCAGCCGCGUUAAUACGGAGGAUCCGAGCGUUAUCCGGAUUUAUUGGGUGUAAAGGGAGCGUAUGGGUUGUUAAGUCAGUUGUGAAAGUUUGCGGCUCAACCGUAAAAUUGCAAUUGAUACUGGCAGCCUUGAGUACAGUUGAGGUAGGCGGAAUUCGUGGUGUAGCGGUGAAAUGCUUAGAUAGCACGAAGAACGCCGAUUGCGAAGGCAGCUUACUAAACUGCCACUGACAUUGAUGCUCGAAAGUGUGGGUAUCAAACAGGAUUAGAUACCCGGGUAGUC
rnacentral:rRNA from 1 species